UACGGAGGAUGCAAGCGUUAUCCGGAAUCAUUGGGCGUAAAGCGUCCGUAGGUGGCUUUUCAAGUCUGCCGUCAAAGACCGGGGCUUAACCCCAGAAAGGCGGUGGAAACUGAAUAGCUAGAGUGCGGUAGGGGUAGAGGGAAUUCCCGGUGUAGCGGUGAAAUGCGUAGAGAUCGGGAAGAACACCGGUGGCGAAGGCGGUUCUCUGGGCCUGACCUGACGCUGAGGAGCGAAAGCGUGGGGAGCGAACAGG
rnacentral:rRNA from 1 species